rnacentral:lncRNA from 1 species
UAUUCAUCCUCCAAGACACGUAAAAAGUAAAAUCUUCACAAAAUGUCACGAAAAUGUCCAUUUUUCUCCGAUUCUGCGCGACGACAGCUCCUUCGAGGUUCACCAGCGAGUGACGCAGAAUCUGGAAGGGAAAAAAACUCAAUUUCGGGCUCGGAAGAUACAGGAGAUGAUACCCGGGUUAUGAACAUCAGCUGACCAGGACUAGGGAGAUGCGUGGCCAGCAUCCCUCUUCUUCCAUCUUGCCGCCGUGACACUGUGCCAGGUGCCUCCCGACAAGUGGGGUAAGGCGGAGCUCAUGACAAUCCUCAGGGUUUUCAAGGAUUUUUGCGCUCCCUGGCUGGCUUCAAAAACACGUAGAAGCAAGAGCAGCACUUCUCGGAGACAGCGGCUUCUUGUAUCAGCGUAGAAUCCAAAGUUCUGAAUCGUGAUCCUGAAGGUCCAUCUCAAAAGUGUCAACCUGUUGCAAUGGUGACCAGUAUGACCCAGCAAUGAAUUUCCUGGCCUCGGUGUCUGAUAGGUGCCUGCUGUCAUUACUUACUGAGAGUCCUGUGCAAUGAAGCUUUGGGGAGGACGAAGUAACGUGAUCCAAAUGUCAAGAUGCAAUGAUGAAGAUUUUGAAUUUGUUGUCAUUUGUUACCAUUCAUAGCUAUUGGAGAUUAUUACUGAAACUGUAAAACCUACAUACACAAAAAAGUAUAUUUUGUUAGUUGUAAAUAGGUCUUUUUUUCCUCUUUUUAGUAAUGAGUUGAUAUUUGUUGAAUUUUACAGUGAAAUACAAGAAAUUAAUGUG